UUGACCUCGGAUCAGGUAGGAAUACCCGCUGAACUUAAGCAUAUCAAUAAGCGGAGGAAAAGAAACCAACAGGGAUUGCCCUAGUAACGGCGAGUGAAGCGGCAACAGCUCAAAUUUGAAAUCUGGCUCUCGGGCCCGAGUUGUAAUUUGUAGAGGAUACUUUUGAUGCGGUGCCUUCCGAGUUCCCUGGAACGGGACGCCAUAGAGGGUGAGAGCCCCGUCUGGUUGGAUGCCAAAUCUCUGUAAAGUUCCUUCGACGAGUCGAGUAGUUUGGGAAUGCUGCUCUAAAUGGGAGGUAUAUGUCUUCUAAAGCUAAAUACCGGCCAGAGACCGAUAGCGCACAAGUAGAGUGAUCGAAAGAUGAAAAGCACUUUGAAAAGAGAGUUAAAAAGUACGUGAAAUUGUUGAAAGGGAAGCGUUUAUGACCAGACUUGGGCUUGGUUAAUCAUCUGGGGUUCUCCCCAGUGCACUUUUCCAGUCCAGGCCAGCAUCAGUUUUCCCCGGGGGAUAAAGACUUCGGGAAUGUGGCUCUCUUCGGGGAGUGUUAUAGCCCGUUGUGUAAUACCCUGGGGGGGACUGAGGUUCGCGCUCGCAGGAUGCGC
rnacentral:rRNA from 1 species